rnacentral:rRNA from 1 species
UACGAGGGGGCUAGCGUUGUUCGGAUUUACUGGGCGUAAAGCGCGUGUAGGCGGCUUUGCAAGUCGGGUGUGAAAGCCCUCAGCUUAACUGAGGAAGUGCGCCCGAAACUGCAGAGCUUGAGUACCGGAGAGGAUGGUGGAAUUCCCCAAGUAGAGGUGAAAUUCGUAGAUAUGGGGAGGAACACCGGUGGCGAAGGCGACCAUCUGGACGGAUACUGACGCUGAGACGCGAAAGCGUGGGGAGCAAACAGG